CCGGCACGGGUGAGUAACACGUAUGCAAUCCACCUGUAACAGGGGAGUAACCGGAGAAAUCCGACUAAUACCCAUAAUAUGGGCGCUCCGCAUGGAGAGCCCAUUAAAGAGAGCAAUUUUGGUUACAGACGAGCAUGCGCUCCAUUAGCCAGUUGGCGGGGUAACGGCCCACCAAGGCGACGAUGGAUAGGGGUUCUGAGAGGAAGGUCCCCCACAUUGGAACUGAGACACGGUCCAA
rnacentral:rRNA from 1 species